UGCCAAGAUGAGUGCUGGGACAACAAGAUCAUAGUCGCCCAGCCAGUUACGCUCAGUGUAUCAGGUGGAAAGGGCAUUACAUCCUCUGAGACAAACCUUUGCAGCAUUCACUCUACAAUACCUGAUAGGUUGCUGUGCUGCUUCUGAGCUGCCCCAGCCCUCACUGACUGACUCCCAGCACCAGACAGAUGUUCAGUGGGGGGCAUUUCACAGUGCAGUGCCCUGCUUCUGAGACUAAAUCCUCAGGCUGGACAUUGGUGCAUU